GGCCAUAUAGCGCUGAAACACCGAUUCCCGUACGAUAACCGAAGUUAAGCAACGUCGAGCCUGAUCAGUACCUAGAUGGUUGACUGAUUGGAAAUGCCAGG